UACGUAGGGGCCUAGCGUUGUCCGGAAUUAUUGGGCGUAAAGAGCUCGUAGGCGGCUUGUCACGUCGGAUGUGAAAGCCCGGGGCUUAACCCCGGGUCUGCAUUCGAUACGGGCAGGCUAGAGUUCGGUAGGGGAGAUCGGAAUUCCUGGUGUAGCGGUGAAAUGCGCAGAUAUCAGGAGGAACACCGGUGGCGAAGGCGGAUCUCUGGGCCGAUACUGACGCUGAGGAGCGAAAGCGUGGGGAGCGAACAGG
rnacentral:rRNA from 1 species